GAACGCAUCUUGCGCUCCUUGGUAUUCCGAGGAGCAUGCCUGUUUGAGUGUCAUCAAAUUUUGACAUUAUGUUAAUAUUUGGAUCAUGUCAAGGAAGCGAUUUCCAUUUAUAUGGAUAGCUCCUUGGAAAUUCAUAGGUAGUAUAGUUGCUAUCAUUAGAACGUGAUGAAUAUUCCUUCGUUCAAAUGGAGUUUACUUGUAUGGCCCUGAAACCAUAUAUACCAUUUUGGUAUUUUGUCAAUUUGACCUGAGAUUGGGUAGGGAUACCCGCUGAACUUAAG
rnacentral:misc_RNA from 1 species